rnacentral:rRNA from 1 species
CCUACGGGAGGCAGCAGUGGGGAAUCUUGGACAAUGGGCGCAAGCCUGAUCCAGCCAUGCCGCGUGAGUGAUGAAGGCCCUAGGGUCGUAAAGCUCUUUCGCCAGGGAUGAUAAUGACAGUACCUGGUAAAGAAACCCCGGCUAACUCCGUGCCAGCAGCCGCGGUAAUACGGAGGGGGUUAGCGUUGUUCGGAAUUACUGGGCGUAAAGCGCACGUAGGCGGAUCAGAAAGUUGGGGGUGAAAUCCCGGGGCUCAACCCCGGAACUGCCUCCAAAACUCCUGGUCUUGAGUUCGAGAGAGGUGAGUGGAAUUCCGAGUGUAGAGGUGAAAUUCGUAGAUAUUCGGAGGAACACCAGUGGCGAAGGCGGCUCACUGGCUCGAUACUGACGCUGAGGUGCGAAAGUGUGGGGAGCAAACAGGAUUAGAUACCCUGGUAGUCCACACCGUAAACGAUGAAUGCCAGUCGUCGGGUAGCAUGCUAUUCGGUGACACACCUAACGGAUUAAGCAUUCCGCCUGGGGAGUACGGUCGCAAGAUUAAAACUCAAAGGAAUUGACGGA